rnacentral:rRNA from 1 species
CACGGGGGGAGCAAGCGUUGUUCGGAAUCACUGGGCGUAAAGGGCGUGUAGGCGGUCAAGGAAGUGGAAUGUGAAAGCCCCCGGCUUACCCGGGGAUCUGCAUCCCAAAUUGCUUGGCUUGAGUACGGGAGAGGAUAGGGGAAUUCCUGGUGUAGCGGUGAAAUGCGUAGAUAUCAGGAGGAACACCGAUGGCGAAGGCAGGUCUCUGGGCCGCAACUGACGCUGAGGAGCGAAAGCGUGGGGAGCGAACAGG